GUUUGAUUCAGUUUUUGUUGCCACCUGAGCUAGAAUAUCAUUCAUAGUAUCACUGGCAUCGGCAUCAUCUUUCCCCAAGGAACGCAAGAGCCUAAGCAAUCUUAUUUGAAGGAAAGGAUCUGUAAUGCCAGAAAUGUCAUACUCAGGCGCAUAUGGACUGUUUGCGAGAUCCCUCAUAAGUUUGACUAAACCAUCCGUGCAUUUCUUUCUGAAAUGUUCAAGAGCCUCUGUACUAAUUUUACAUAGAUCUAUACAAAGCUGGACACCAGUAAUGAGAACUCCAUGGUGCUUCUCACUUAACAAGGAAGCUGCAGCGUGUAUAAAAUUUUCGGCAAGAUCGGGGACCUUCUUUAUAAUUCUUAUAGAGCAAAGUGCUGCCUUCUUUCGGAUAUUAGGAUCUCUAAACUUUAGCAAACGUUCAACUUCUGGUGCAAGGUCACGAGCCAUUUCUG
rnacentral:misc_RNA from 1 species